rnacentral:rRNA from 1 species
GACGAACGCUGGCGGCGUGCUUAACACAUGCAAGUCGAACGGAAAGGCCCUGCUUUUGUGGGGUGCUCGAGUGGCGAACGGGUGAGUAACACGUGAGUAACCUGCCCUUGACUUUGGGAUAACUUCAGGAAACUGGGGCUAAUACCGGAUAGGAGCUCCUGCUGCAUGGUGGGGGUUGGAAAGUUUCGGCGGUUGGGGAUGGACUCGCGGCUUAUCAGCUUGUUGGUGGGGUAGUGGCUUACCAAGGCUUUGACGGGUAGCCGGCCUGAGAGGGUGACCGGCCAAAUGGGGACGGGGAUACGGCCCAGACUCCUACGGGGGGCAGCGGGGGGGAAUAUUGCACAAGGGGCGGAAGCCGGAUGCAGCAACGCCGCGGGGGGGAUGACGGCCUUCGGGUUGUAAACCGCUUUCGCCUGUGACGAAGCGGGGGUGACGGUAAUGGGAAAAGAAGCACCGGCUAACUACGU